AUACGGAGGGUGCAAGCGUUAUCGGAAUUACUGGGCGUAAAGCGCGCGUAGGCGGUUGUGUAAGUUGGAUGUGAAAGCCCCGGGCUUAACCUGGGAACUGCAUUCAAAACUGCACGGCUAGAGUACGGGAGAGGGUAGUGGAAUUUCGAGUGUAGGGGUGAAAUCCGUAGAUAUUCGAAGGAACACCGGUGGCGAAGGCGGCUACCUGGACCGAUACUGACGCUGAGACGCGAAAGCGUGGGGAGC
rnacentral:rRNA from 1 species